CCCCUGCCCUUCCCGAGGGCAGCAGCCGCGGCGGCCCGGAGAUAGCGCUGGCGCGGCGCGGGCUCUGCCUGGGCUAGUGGCACCGACUUGGGAAAGGAAAACAUUGAGACAGAAGAAGACUGGAUCUUUUCCCAUAGGAAGAACCAUGAUCAGCCCUGUUGAAAGACUGCAGAAGACCCACUACUUGUGAAGGCCCACACAUUGGAAAUAUGGGAACUUCUCUCCUGCCACAGAGAACAAAAGGAUCAGAGAAACUGAAAAGCACAAGGCGAUAAGGCAAGUUUUCUCAACCAAGAACCAGGACUGGUGACAAUUUCCAAAGAAACAGUUGCCUUGGUGGACAAGCAGCUGGGCCCACGCAGUAGAUGCCAGGCCCAUGGCCUCUACUUGCUUUUACCUUACAGUUCCCCAGUGGUUUGUUUGGGACUUGCAGGAAAAAACAAACACAUCCCCUCUGCCUCUUCUAACCCCAUCUUUGGCUUCUGCAACCACUCUCCUCCUGCCCAUUACUGGCUUUGGGGCAGAUUCUUUGUCUGCCUAAAGCCUCGCAUUGUCCUGAGUGCAGCUGAAGGUAACCCAGCUCCAAAACUUCUCUGAAGUUAAAUAUUGACCAGAACCUCUUUCAACCUGCUGUAGUUGCCAGGGGCUGGUAGGGCAAACUCUUCCUAACUGAGUGGUGCAAAGUCCCUGAGAAGAGUUUUGGCUCAUUGCUUACCUCCAAAGAUGUUUAAAUCUGGACCAGGAAUUGUUUUUAGCUCCAGGCACUCAGGGAAUCCUCUUAUCCCGUGUCCAGGCACUCUACAGACAAAUAAACAGCAGGGGGUGAAUGGUGGCUGCAAGGGAAGGGAGUUGGAGGACUGGAGUUGGAAAUGUGGCCUGAGCAGGCACCAGGAUGGUCCCAGGGGUGACGCGGGCACGGAGGAGUCACCAGGGCACUCGUCCAUGCGAUGGCACUCGUAGCUAGAAAUGUUCCAGUCUACAAAUGACCCGAAGAUGGUGAUUUAUUUUUGUAAAAUAAAUACAUACUCCAUCUCCUCCGCACCCACACUCUCUCCUUUUUCAUUCUUUUAUAGGGGAGCGGGGAGAAAAAUGGACUAGAUGACAGAGGAAGAUAGGAAGGAGGUGGAAGAGGCUUUGCUGUUGGUGUGGACUCAGCUAGGAGGGCUCCUCACGCACCACAACUUGGGGAAUGUGAAUGCAUGCUUUAUUUUCUUUUGCUAACAAAGGGAAGCCUUGUCUGGAAGCAUUCAAUCAUGGACUCUCCCGAAACCUCACUAAUAGUGUUCAUUUCUGUUGGCGCGAAAUCAGACUCAGGCUCAGUCCACAGACCAGAGGCAGUUUGGGAGGUUUUGUCCUCUGUUUCAUUCAAGCGCUGGGCGGGCCACUUCUUGGUCCUACUGGGCUGGCAGGCCAGCUACUGUUGCUGGAAACUGGGCAAGACUAGGGCAGGUCACUGGACAAUACUCCAUCUGGUUCUGCUUUGCCUUGUGUAGCAAUCAGGAAUCGCAAAAUGCCUUGAUUUUGCUGUAAUCUCCCACCUCACAAUAUUUGCAACCCUCUCUAGAGCUCUGUCAGCAAAUCUGACCCUGGAACCCUCAGCCAACUUUCUGGGGGCAGGAGACCCUGGGGAAGGAGAAGAGAAUCUACUGGUGAGUUCUGCUGGGACUUUAUGGGGCAUUGUUUUUAUAGCCCUAACCCUGAAUCCACCAGCCCUUUACCCAAACCUAGGUAACCUCCCAGACUCUGACCUGCUCCAUAACAGCCUUCUUCUGUCUCUCCUGCAUCCAUGUGAGAGGGGAUACCAAAUAGCUGACAAGUCCUCUGACUCCUGGCUUCAGAAUACCGAACAAGUGGAAGCAAACUUACAACUGUCUUCUGCCACAACUCCACCUGAAGCCUUUAACCUCCAUCCCUGCUUGAGACUCAGAAUCCACGCUGGGCCCUUUUCCCUUCUUCAAACUUGCCCUUCCUGUCUUGAAAGGGAGAGCCCCCAGCCUUGGAGCUCCUGGCAUGAGCCCGAGUUGAGUGGGGAUUAGACAUCCUGCACUUUGCUGCUCAAUUUCGCUCCUGAAAGAUCCACUAUGCCACCAUGCACCGCCACCGCCUCCGCCGCAGCUGCCGCCGCCACCACCACCACCACUGUGAGUCAGGCUGAGUAUUGUAAUUAUUAUGGUUAUUAUUAUUGUCGCUAUUUGCUUAUCCCGAAGUCUAAUAUUCAUGGCUGGUGUUCCCCAUAAAUCCUUCAGAUUAAUGAGUCAAAGAGAGAUGUUGCCUAGGUCUCUACCUCUGCAAUGGCCGCUGCCGCGCCGCCGUGGCCUUUUUCUCCGCGGUUUUGGCGUUCGCUUGCUCCCUCGCUAGCCCGGCGCGGUUGAUUUAUGAACGCCCGGAAAAUUGAACAAAGCUGCGCGCCCGUCCUGUGGUAUCUCUGCAGCCUUCCCCAGCGUGAAUCUGAACAUUACCAACUGUCUGCGCAUCCGUCCCACUUCAUCACCAAAGCCAGGAUGUGACCACAAAAAAGAAAAAAACCCAACAACCCAAGCCCAAACUCACGUUUCCCCGACACAGCGCGCUCCCUGGACUCGCAGAAACCCUGCAGAAAAGCACCAGGACCCAGCCUGAGCCCGCCAGCUCUGGUUCUCCUAGCCACAGGGCUCUCUCCUUCCUUCCUGAAGGAGUUAAAAGCCUUUGAAGAUAAAUCUGAGGAUGCGUGUAUUUAAAAAUCAAAUAGGAAGUUGGAGUCUCACUUCAGAGAUUCAUUCCUAGUGAGGCCCUGACUACUCCGAUCCAUUCCUGACGAUCUGCAUUAAUUAUUUAAUGAAUCACGUGACCUCGGAGAUUACAAUUUCAAUAUCUCCCUGGAACAGGCGUUACACCUUUAUCAGCUGCAACCAGGGUCCGUGUUUGGUUUUUUGUUCCCUAGGCCUCUGGAGCACAUUCACCCUUGUGUUGAUGGGGCAAGCAACCGCCAAAGAAAUUACGGGUAGAACACAGCAGAAUUAGUCAUUAUGGGGUGAGGAGCGUUGUGGACAGUAGGGAGCUCACUGCUCUCCAAGGCAUCCUGAAGUCCAUCAGCUCCUGAGACCAGUGGUCAGCCACCUGUCUGAGUGCCAAGUCUAGGGCAGUUUGGUUACAUAAUCUCCCAAGGCAGCUUUUCAGGUACAUUGGGUAAGAACUUACCCUUCCAAAUCCAGGUUACACACACUCCUAGCCUUUCACAUCAAGGGUAAACCCAAAUACAUACUGUAUCCCAUUCUCUUGGAGGAAUAGCUUCUGCUUUGAAAAAAAUGACUGAGUUUACCACAUCCGUGUCCAAGGUGAGAUUAAAGGCUUUUCUCAGCCUACACACUCAUUAACAUAAGAAACGUUGGGAAGUGGAAUAUUCAACUGCCUCAGUUUCCUCAUAUGUAAACUGAGAAGACUGAACCCAAAUGGCUUCCAGGUCUCUUUCAACUUGGACAGUCAUUCAUUCUGGAUUCUCCUUCAACUCUAGGAAGCAUUCUAGAGAGAAGGGGGCUGGCCUGAAAGGGAAGAGGGUGUGCUGAGUGAGUCUGGAGCCUUCAGAAGAGAUGCCAGAAUUCCAAGCCAGAAGUUGCAGACUAGAAGGUUUGAUGACUUAAUGCUAUCAAGGAGACAGAACACACAACUCCCCCCCCCUUCCUGCUCCUCCUCCUCCCUCCAUUGUUUCCAGAUCCAGAGCUUAUCCUUCGAGGUGCAAAGCAGUUACUCUUGGAGCAGUAUGUUGUGGAGAAAAGGUAUCAAGAGCAUCAGUUAGGAAAGAUGAGCUUGAGUUCUUCAAGCCCGAGGGUGCCCGGGAAUGCAGAGACCAAGGAGGUGCCAAAGAGGCCCUAUUGCUUGCACAGAACCCACUCAUUCAAAUGGGAAGCCCCAGGUUUCUAUUCGCUUCAUUCAUUCUUUGGAGGUUUUCUUUCAUUUUAGAGAGUUGAUUUGUUUCUGUGCUGGCACAACUAGAAGGAAGGCAGCAGUAAGAAAAGCAACACAGUUUGGAAGUUUUGGGGGAUCUAGGGGCUCAGGAGAUAUGGUGAUUCCCAUCCCUUAGGGAGAAGGGUGAGAAGUAGGGAGAAUGGGGCACCCUGGGACAGCUGGAUAGAAAGGCAGAUAUUGUGCAGCAGGCCUACCCCCAUAUAUUUAGGGAAUCUUCCCACGAGCUCCAUCCUGGGUAUUAAGUACUCUACUAUGCCCGUCACAGUUGAAUUCCUGCUGUAAUAAAACACCGGGUAUAUGGUAGAUUUCAGCAAAACUAGGGAAAAAAGCCUGCAAAGUGCCAUUUUUCUUCAAGGGGGAGAGUGUUAAGUACUUAAUUCAAACUGUGACCAUUAAAGUGUCUCCUAUCCGACUUAGGCUGAUUUCAGAUGUUGACAAAACUUUUAUCUCCAGAGUCAUGCACAGCUUGGCUCUGAGACUAAAGCAGAUGAGUGUGUAUUAAAGAGAGGGAGGGAUAAAGAUGGAGAGAGCAGGAGAGCAUGUGUAAAGGUCAUCAUAACAGGAGAAAUACAGAGCUUACACAAAAUACUGUCUUUAAAGGUCAAGGGUUUGAGGGGUUAGUAAGGUUUACCUUAAAAAAAAAACUAAUGAGAUAGAAAAUUUGUCCUCUCAAUGAACUCUUAUGGUUGUCCUAGCAGAGGGCAGACAAUGCAUGAUUUUGAAGCACAAAGAGAGAUUUCUUAAGCUGUUAUUACAAGCUCCCUUAAAGGCAAAAUCUGAAACAGACAAAACAUUGUGAAGAAAUGACAUAAUCAGUUGGAUCACUUUUGAUAAUUUUGGUUUAUAAAGCUUACCAAUAUCUUACCAUUUUGAAAAAAUGCCGCUUUAUUCUAGAAUAUCACAAAAAUGGUCUCAACCCUCUCCUCCUAUUCUGGAUAGACUACAAGAGCAAGAGAAAGAAAUCACUCCCUUUAUUUUCAUACUACUGCCUCCAGCACGAAGCUAAUGAAUUUCCCUAUACCCUUCCUCCCCACAAAGGAGAAAUAUAAGAAUUUACCUUAAAUGAUGAUAAUCUGCCAUUUGAGGUUUUGCAGCUUGACACUCAAUUUCCACCAAGAGUCUAGGUAUUUUUUUAUUUUAGCAGAUAGCCAAGAUGCUAUGUCUUUGCCUGAGACAUUAUUUGCAAGAAGAUCUCUCUCUCCUUCACAGACUUUUCCCAGAGAAUGCCUUUCAGAAUUGCUGUUGAAUUACAAAGAAGUAUUUAUUGUAUGAGGUGAUUAAUGAUUCCUGGGAAAAUUGCUAUUUUCAGCAUGAUUUAAUUUCGUUUUACAAGUGCGUGUAUAGGGGGAGGGUUAAUAAGUUUCAGCAGCAGUUGCAUUGCCUCCAGAAAUGCCUGGCACCCAUUCACACCUUAUUAAAUGCAUUUUAUCCCAGGUUUUUCCUGAUUUGA